rnacentral:rRNA from 1 species
UUGCCCUAGUAACGGCGAGUGAAGCGGCAACAGCUCAAAUUUGAAAUCUGGCCUCGGCCCGAGUUGUAAUUUGCAGAGGAAGCUUUAGGCGCGGCACCUUCUGAGUCCCCUGGAACGGGGCGCCAUAGAGGGUGAGAGCCCCGUAUAGUUGGAUGCCUAGCCUGUGUAAAGCUCCUUCGACGAGUCGAGUAGUUUGGGAAUGCUGCUCAAAAUGGGAGGUAAAUUUCUUCUAAAGCUAAAUACCGGCCAGAGACCGAUAGCGCACAAGUAGAGUGAUCGAAAGAUGAAAAGCACUUUGAAAAGAGGGUUAAAAAGCACGUGAAAUUGUUGAAAGGGAAGCGCUUGUGACCAGACUUGCGCCGGGCUGAUCAUCCGGUGUUCUCACCGGUGCACUCGGCCCGGCACAGGCCAGCAUCGGUUCUCGCGGGGGGAUAAAGGUCCCGGGAACGUAGCUCCUCCGGGAGUGUUAUAGCCCGGGGCGUAAUGCCCUCGCGGGGACCGAGGUUCGCGCAUCUGCAAGGAUGCUGGCGUAAUGGUCAUCAGCGACCCGUCUUGAAACACGGACCAAGGAGUCAAGGUUUUGCGCGAGUGUUUGGGUGUCAAACCCGCACGCGUAAUGAAAGUGAACGUAGGUGAGAGCUUCGGCGCAUCAUCGACCGAUCCUGAUGUUUUCGGAUGGAUUUGAGUAGGAGCGUUAAGCCUUGGACCCGAAAGAUGGUGAACUAUGCUUGGAUAGGGUGAAGCCAGAGGAAACUCUGGUGGAGGCUCGCAGCGGUUCUGACGUGCAAAUCGAUCGUCAAAUCUGAGCAU